UACGAGGGGGCUAGCGUUGUUCGGAAUUACUGGGCGUAAAGCGCACGUAGGCGGCUUGGUAAGUUAGAGGUGAAAGCCUGGAGCUCAACUCCAGAAUUGCCUUUAAGACUGCCGAGCUAGCAGGUGAGAGAGGUGAGUGGAAUUCCGAGUGUAGAGGUGAAAUUCGUAGAUAUUCGGAAGAACACCAGUGGCGAAGGCGGCUCACUGGCUCAUACUGGACGCUGAGGUGCGAAAGCGUGGGGAGCAAACAGG
rnacentral:rRNA from 1 species